AUCUGACUGUCAUUCAGGAAACGAACCAAUGAGAACUGUUCGCGCCUCUCACCGGUCAUGUUUGAAAAUACGUCUGUUUGAGUGGGUGAGCUGAUCCGCACUGCUACUCGCCACAGUCCACUAGUAAUAACUAGUACCUGCAUCAUUUUACAUCUUCCUGCUAAAUUCUUAUUUUGAGCGAAUUUGAGUUGUUGGAUGUCAACCGAGAUUAAAAAAAAAAAAUGGAAUAUGGUCACAGAGGAAGACGGGAGCUGUUUGAUCACCCCAGUCUAAGAAUGGGGAAAACUGAGGAGACGAGUGAGUUGUAAAACCUGCCGGAGUUUAAUUAUGCCCAUUAAGAGUUUCAUCAACGGGUAACGGACAUAUGGCAACCUGCAGAAGGAAUGUGUAUAUUUACUUCUUCAUCAAGAUGUCGUGUGUUAAGCAAAUGACCACAGCAGUGCAUCACCUGUGAAAUCAUGAGAAGGCUGAAGAACCAGGAGUGACAUGAUUUCACUGGAUGGUGGGGUACAGAAUUAAACCCAGGGACAGAUCAAGCAUUGGAACAAGGUUUACGGGGGAGAACAGACACCCAACAAGUCGAUCACUAGUAAGUAUCAACUGCAGUACUAUAUAAAAUAAAAUAUUAGUCAUCAUCAUCAUCAAUCCUUUAUUUAAUAUUCAGUAGAACAUGGGAAAGACCCUCAUGACCCUCAGACAUGUUAUAACAGGGUAAACGCAGCUGCAGUUAAUACAUUAGAUGGUUUGAUUUUGGUGUACCAAUUGUCAAUAUUUUUUUAGCUACAACUGUGUUUACCUUGCUAUGAUAUAUAUGUGAAAAGUGUCCAUUGUUGUGAAUCCAUGUCUUCCUUGUUUUAGUGGUUCACAUUUUUCUGACGGGGGUGCUAAGACAUGCAUUAGGUGCAUGGUUAAAUUGGCAAACAUUUAAUAACUAACACUCUCAAAGCUGACAGUACUCUGUAUUCACAUUGCCAGAUUGUCUCAUAAUGGCAAAUAUUGGUACAAACAGUUUAAGUAAAGUUUGUUUAAAUUUCUUUAAAGGAAUGUUAAAUGAAAUCCUACUUUUUAAGGACUUUUCAUUGAAUCUUAGUGUGUCCUCCGCCCAACAAAAAAACAAUAGACCACAACCCCCUCAGCUCAACAGCACAAUUUGUUGCUUUCUCCACCUGUUUCAAAGGUGAAAUCAUGACCUCAUCAUGAUAGUAACCCUAACAGACAAGAUAGACACAUAGAGAAAUUACAUUUUUAGUUUUUCAGUUCCUCCUGGGGGGCUCAGAAGAACGGUUUGUGAAUAAUUGGUUGAUUUUGUGUGUAUGAUAUUUAAUGUAUCUGAAUACAUAAAAAAAAAAGUGUUUUAGAAUGAAUAGUGGUGUGUACUUUGUUUGUAAUUAAGUUUCCAUCCCCACUUUAAUUGUAGAUGUAUCAGUUUAUUUUGUAUUUCUUCAGUAUGUUUUCAGUUUCCAAUAUUUCACAGUAAUCUUAAAGCUUAUAUUUUAUGAGAAUCUGAAGAAACCUUUCUACUGUUAAUCAGUAUAGUAAAAUAAAUAUUAAAUGUUGUAUUUAUAAAUGUUGUAUUUCAUUUAAGGUUUGUACAAUUAAAUAUUGUAUUUAGAUACAAUGUUUUAACUUUUACAGGUUUUAAUCUAAACGCAAACACUGCCAGUCAAGUUUGAGAUGAUUUUAAUCUGUUUUAUAUAGUAUUUUUUAGAGACUUUUUAUUUUGUCUUCCAAAUACGAUCUUUAGCAUGUGUUAACUCUUGAAGGUGUUUGAUCAUAAUAAUUCAGGAAAUACCUGUAAAAUAACAGUGUUUCUCUGUAAAACGUUUAAUGAAAAUUUCUGUAAAUUUAUUGUUUUUGCACUUUAUUUGAAUAAGGAUAUUUUAUUUUAAUCUUACGGUUUUUGUUUGGCAGCCGCUGCUGCCAGUCAUUUGACCAUUUUUUUACUUUUUUUUUUUCCCUUCAGGGUGUACAAAAUCUAGUUUACAUUUGUAUUUUUGAAUUGAAGCUUGAUGAAUAAAACUUUUCUUACAUUUUA